rnacentral:rRNA from 1 species
GUGGGGAAUCUUGCGCAAUGGGCGAAAGCCUGACGCAGCCAUGCCGCGUGGAUGAUGAAGGUCUUAGGAUUGUAAAAUCCUUUCACCGGUGAAGAUAAUGACUGUAGCCGGAGAAGAAGCCCCGGCUAACUUCGUGCCAGCAGCCGCGGUAAUACGAAGGGGGCUAGCGUUGCUCGGAUUUACUGGGCGUAAAGGGCGCGUAGGCGGACAUUUAAGUCAGGGGUGAAAUCCCGGGGCUCAACCUCGGAACUGCCUUUGAUACUGGGUGUCUUGAGUAUGAGAGAGGUGUGUGGAACUCCGAGUGUAGAGGUGAAAUUCGUAGAUAUUCGGAGGAACACCAGUGGCGAAGGCGACACACUGGCUCAUUACUGACGCUGAGGCGCGAAAGCGUGGGGAGCAAACAGGAUUAGAAACCCCGGUAGUCC